UACGAAUGGGGCAAGCGUUGUUCGGAAUCACUGGGCUUAAAGCGUAUGCAGGCGGCCAUGCAAGUCAGGAGUGAAAUCCCCGGGCUCAACCCGGGAAUUGCUUUUGAAACUGCAUGGCUAGAAUCCCGGAGAGGUUGGCAGAAUUCCGAGUGUAGAGGUGAAAUUCGCAGAUAUUCGGAGGAAUACCAGUGGCGCAAGCGGCCAACUGGACGGGCAUUGACGCUCAGAUACGAAAGCGUGGGGAGCAAACAGG
rnacentral:rRNA from 1 species